UACGUAGGGCGCAAGCGUUUAUCCGGAAUUAUUGGGCGUAAAGAGCUCGUAGGCGGUUCGGUAAGUCAGGUGUGAAACCUCCAGGCUCAACCUGGAGACGCCACCUGAUACUGCUGUGACUCGAGUCCGGUAGGGGAGCGUGGAAUUCCUGGUGUAGCGGUGAAAUGCGCAGAUAUCAGGAGGAACACCAGCGGCGAAGGCGGCGCUCUGGGCCGGAACUGACGCUGAGGAGCGAAAGCGUGGGUAGCAAACAGG
rnacentral:rRNA from 1 species